rnacentral:misc_RNA from 1 species
AAACCAAUCCAGCUUGCUGGGUCUUGGGCUGUCGCCUCUGGGCGGGCCUCAAAAUCAGUGGCGGUGCUGCCAGGCUCUAAGCGUAGUAAUUUUUUCUCGCUACAGGGUCCUGGUGGAAGCUUGCCAACAACCCCAAAUCUUUCAAA